rnacentral:lncRNA from 1 species
GGCAGUUGGACCGCCCUUGCUCCCUAUUCUAUGCUAUUGUGAUACGGAAUACAGCUAAACCAACAUUCAAAAACCUAGUAUUUCCAACAGACGCUGCGUGAUGAAUGACCGAGUCUCCUAGUCUAGAAGCCUCUAAAGUCCAUUCUCUAGCAUAUAGCUAUUGAGAGCCUUAUACCGGAGAGGCAGUUCUGGUUUAGGCUUCAGAGGUGGCGGUGGUUGGUUAUGUAUAACGGAUCGUUUCGACUGCAAGCUCGCCUGAUCGGUUUAGUGUAAGAAAAGGAGCAGACUCACUAAUAUUGAAAAGAUGGGAAAGAAAAUAGUUGGGAAGAACUGUGCUGAACUAAAUUGAACAUUCUGCCUCGCAUACCUACCUAACACAGUAACACUAUUAUUACUAUAAUAAGCUCCCAUGCAUUCUUCCCUAGUAUAAUCAUUUAUACCUUGGUCAAUGAGCAUGUCAAGUGUAGUGGCAGUGGGAUAUAUGUAUAUGGAAUGAUAUCAUCUUGUAUAAUUUGAAACG